rnacentral:misc_RNA from 1 species
CUACCGAGAUGCAGCCGCGUCGAUCGACUCGUGGGCGGAUGGAUGAAGUUAUCCAGUGACGCCCGGCGUCACGGUUCUGCUCGUGCUCGUGGCUGGAUGGGAAAAACCGCCAGUCACACGAUCAGCGAGAUUAGCGAAGGUUUUCUCAUGCGGAGGUGGAGAUCGUUGCAUGAAAUUGCGGAACUUAUAGUCUGGGAGUUUGGGGCGUGAACAGAAACGGAGCAAUGUAAACAAAGGUGUUUCGUUUAAAAAUACGCUGUGCUUACGGGAAAUCGAUGCAACUCUGGCAAAGGCAGAUCGAAAACGCGAGACGUUGCCCGAUCGUAAGGCUUCAGAAUUUCAAUUCGAGACCCAGCAAGAUGGCUCCUUUGGUAGAAUGCGAUUCACGCCGCCGUGAAGAAAAAGAUUUCUCCGGGUCCUGUCCGAAAAUCCGUACUUUAUAUCCAUGAGGUACUCGCGGUCAACUCGACGUGGGAUCGACUAAAGCGCAUAAAUAAGGCGCGUGCGAGCGAACUAGCAUUUUCGACGAGCCAAGUCACAGGCGGGUGUCGAACAAGCGUGGUUACCAAGGAUUCUGCCUACCGGCUCUCUUCCGACUAUCCGGUUCUCGUGCGAUGGCGUGGCAAGCUUGUCUCCGCAGGCAUGAAGAAUCGGCCGAAACACCGCGGGUAGCGAACGAGCCUUGAUACGUAGCAUUCAUAAAUCUGCAGGUUUUUCAGCUUUUCCUGAACAGCGGCGACCUUGCCUGCCGCUCCC